rnacentral:rRNA from 1 species
GUGAACGCUGGCGGUAGGCCUAACACCUGCCAGUCGAACGGCAGCACAGUAAGAGCUUGCUCUUACGGGUGGCGAGUGGCGGACGGGUGAGGAAUACAUCGGAAUCUACCUUUUCGUGGGGGAUAACGUAGGGAAACUUACGCUAAUACCGCAUACGACCUACGGGUGAAAGCAGGGGAUCUUCGGACCUUGCGCGAUUGAAUGAGCCGAUGUCGGAUUAGCUAGUUGGCGGGGUAAAGGCCCACCAAGGCGACGAUCCGUAGCUGGUCUGAGAGGAUGAUCAGCCACACUGGAACUGAGACACGGUCCAGACUCCUACGGGAGGCAGCAGUGGGGAAUAUUGGACAAUGGGCGCAAGCCUGAUCCAGCCAUACCGCGUGGGUGAAGAAGGCCUUCGGGUUGUAAAGCCCUUUUGUUGGGAAAGAAAAGCAGCAGGUUAAUACCCCGCUGUUCUGACGGUACCCAAAGAAUAAGCACCGGCUAACUUCGUG